ensembl:lncRNA
CCGGGAGCGGCGGGCAGCGAGGGGUCCGAUCGGCGCGAGGCGGGGAGGAGGCGCGGCGCCGGGGGAGCUCCAGGUGCUGCGCUCACGCUGCCCACAGGGCGGGCGACCGUGUCCGUGCGGCCAUGUGCUCCGUGCGGAGCGCACAUAAAUAAGCGGGUGUGUGCGGCACAGGUAUGUUCAUACGAUUUGAUUUGUAUAUCGUGGAGCGUGUAAAGCUUUUCAAGGUAACUGCGGUGCAGAAGUAAUUACUUUAUUACCUCCGAAACGUUCUGCAGUUCGCAUUUAACAGUGCUCUGAAUAAUUACGAGUCAUUACGCAGCCGUGCGCUCUCCGAAGCCCACGUACGGCGGCAUACCUGGCCGGGGCCGGUUCUGAUAAAUACCAGGCAGCGUUCCAUCGGUUUUCUUUAAAAACUCGCAGCGAGUUUAUCACUUAGUUAUACCUCAGCCCGCCGUCUCGCUGCACCGCGGCUGAGAUUCCAGCGGUGGCUGCCCCUGCCGCACCGUGAGACGCACUCGACAGCUGAUUGUACGGAUGCUCUCGGGAACGGCAGCGAGCGAGUCCUGCCGGCAGUGUGCCCUCAAUGCUGGCACGGAGUAACUGCGCGGGCGAAGCGGAGCCGUACCUCAGCUCAGCGCUCCCCUCGGCCGGACGGGCGCUGCUGUCGGCAUUGAUCACAAUAACGCGCACUGCCCGCCGCCCCCCGCGCUGCCGUUGUCAUGUGACGAGAGGGCGACAGCAGACCGAGAAAAGGCGUCGGGAGGCGUUCUUGGAGCGCCGUAUCCACGGGCUUUAUUAAAGCAGGAUUGUCUCCUCUUUAGAUGUGAGCUUUCGGUGAAUACGACGAGACUGCUUGUUUUCCCCCGCAAUGAUCACUGCGUUUCUCAAGCAGUUUGCACCUACUUACGGACCUCGCAUCUUCAGCCUUGGAUCUUAAAGGAACUGAUAACUCCUCUUCCAGAAAACUGUUCGGUAACAGGUUUCCUGCCCCGGGCUUUACAAGGAUCGCUCUUGUCUCAGAGCCACCGUGUACGUACGAUUCUUUUUUUCACGGAUUUUGGUGGGGUUUUUUUUUGUUUUUUUUUUGUUUUGUUUUUUGUUUUUUGUUUUUUUUUUUUGCGGGGGGUGGGGGAGGGCGUUAUAUAUUUUUCUGUUACCUUUUCUGCCUGUGAAGUAAUCAGGGAGAACGGCGGGAGGCUCCAUAAAUAUGCAAAUUGGCGCCAGAUAACUGGUUUCGCUGGUUCCGCCUUGGGACUCCCGCCGGGCGGCUCCGCGGGGGAGAUUGUCGCCCCCGGCCCCACGACCCGCCCCCUCUCCCCCCUCCCCGCGCCGGGCACCGCUCUCCGAGCGCGGUCCUUCCCCUCUCCCCGCCGCUGCCGCAGCUCUUCGACGCGUGCCCGCGCCUUCCAGCUCCCUGGCAGCGUCCCGAAGGAGCACCGCGUCUCGUGGCUGCUGGGUGUCACGGGGCAAAAAGUGCGGUAGGCUGAACCGUGCUCGGGCCCUUAUCCUUUCUAACUCGGCAUCCGAAGGAUUAAAAGCAGUAACUGGCUUCCGAAUUGUAAAAUGUUAAAAUGAAAGUUUGAUUCGUGGUUAAACACUCGCGGGAGCGCAUCCUUUGUGGAUUCUGAUUUGACUCUGCUGUUAAACCGACAUCGGUACUGCGCUGACGCUUUAAUUAAUAAAAGUGGUUAGAGUCCUCUCUGUCAUCUCGUUGCUUACCAGCCUCCACACAAACCGUUUCAAGAUUCUGUCUAAAUAGGAGAAUGAGAAGGGAAACAUAAGCCGCCAAAGUUACUUUGAAGGCAGAGAAGCCAGGCGGCUGACACUGAGAGGCAGGGUUUGGUCUGCAGCUCUCCGCAAUCGUCGCAGCUCCCCGCCGCGGAAGCCCGCCCGGCAGCCCGUGCUGCGACGGCACUGCGCUCGCGGAGCGCAGAGGGUGGGAGGGGAGAGGCGCUGCCACUGCCCCCGAGAUUCCCUGUGCCUGUGGAGCCGGGCCUCGCUGGGAAGGAGACGGGGGCGGCCAGAUGGACAAAGGCUGUGGGCAGAUCCGCCUCCGUGUGAGGUAGGGCGGGCGGCAAUGGCCUCGUCCGCGGAGAAGGAAUCUGGACUGCAGACUGGAGGCAGCAAUGGGGGUUACUGUUAAAGUUCAGAGUUAGCCAUUACUGAAAAUCUCAAGUAACUUCUCUGAACCGGAUUUAAGACUUCUUUUUUUUCAUGUUAACUCCAGGUUUGAUUGCCGGAAAAGGCUGACUACUAGAAUAGCAAAACCAGUCCGCCAUCCAGCAGUUGGGAAUCAAGGCCCUUCUUUACCAGAGCCCCAGCCACAUCCAUACUGUCACCCACCUUCCAGACACUCGGCACAACCAUUCACCCUAUUGAAUCAUGAGACUGUUUGAUCUUAUCUGCAUCUGUGAGCUGACUGUCAACCUGCUUACACUGCAUAUUAAAUCAUCUAUAGUAGCUGUAUCAAGCUGGGAUGAUCUGUUAAUUCUAAAUUUACUAACCCUUCGAGUGCAGUCGUUGUGUUUAAUCUAGUGUAGCCAGCAUUUAUUUUACAAGUCUAAAUCCUUCUUCAAGAUAUGUCUGUGCUGUAGGUUAAAAAAUCAUUAAUGUGUAGGAGAUGGUAAUUGGGAAGAGUUCACUUUGAUCUUUGGAAGCCAGUUGACAGCUUCACUGCUCCAAACACAUACGUGUGUGCUCUCACCACUCUCGCGUGCCCGGCGUGCUGGAUGUGUGCAUGCAUACGCACCUAAUGACACUUCCUUGCAGAAAGAGUUUUGCAUGAGACAAGGAAGAAGAGAGGCCUCAGACAAUGCCUUCAUUCCACGUCUCCAUGAAGACUUAUAAUCGAGAGGCAAAUUCCUGGUGCUGCAGCGCAGUGAGAGCAUGUGGCUGCAGGCAGAGCCCUGCGCCAGGAGGGCCAACAAACCUCCCUUCGAGGCAGCACCCAGCUUGAUGAAUGCCUGCAGCCAUUGCCAGCACCGGACAUCCCCACACACUGAGGACCACAGCCCCUGCCAGGCUUGAGAAAGGUCAAGUGCUGCUGUCCGCACCUCAACCAGCGUGCCCCCUCCUAGACACAGAUACAUACACAAAAAAUUGCAUGCAGAUAUGUACAUACAUCUAAAUAUGUUAAUCUGUUCACUGUACACACCCAUCUCUCCCUGUCCCACUCUCCUGUUAUCUAUUAUUCUUGCACGCUGCUGAUGGCAUCAACAUAUUCACAGCUUUUAUUUCAGUCACAAACUGGUAGGCAUGCUUCCUUUUUUGGUAAUCACAUGCCUGGUAUCUCUCUAAUGUAGCCUAAUAACAAUUUUAGCAUUCAGAUAAAAAGAUUUCAUUCUGUGAUUGCCUUUUCUAUUAGAUUUGAUUCUGAGAAGCCCCAGUGGGUGCCUCCGAGGCAGAGAUCUAUCUGUGAGGCUGCAACCGAUUCAAUAGCAGCCUGAGCUAACCUUGACCUUUCCCUAGACCCUACUCCAUCUGGUGCCAGCCUGGUCCCCCCCUUCUCCUCCUCCUUGCUUCACAGGCAGCAUUGAUCAAGACGAAAUCGAGCGGCUCUCUCCCUCGGAGGGCUGGGCAGUCACAGGAAGGACAGCACAUUUCACUAUAUGGAGACAACUGAGCUUCUUAUGCAAUCAUAUAUCUACAUAGAGGCUUCUGAUUUGAUAUUUCCUUCACUUCCUAAGGUUCUCCCCUCCCUCCCCCAGCAGGGAUUUAUAAACUAUAAGACAACCGCUUUCCCCAACACCUGGAAAUUAUAAAGCUGGCUGUUGGGAACGCAUCCUGGCGAUUUGAUCUGAUUUACUUGGCUUCUUAUUUAUUUCCUUGCAGCUCGCUCCAUCUUUUUCCUGCGUCCGUGGUUCUGUAUCUCUGUCUCUUCUUUCUGUUAUUUUCCCCUGUUCGGCGGCGGCCUUUAUUCAUCUCCUCGGGGAUGCCGGGUGCCGCUGUGGGUAGGCUGGAGGGGCCAGCUGGUGGCUGGCCGGCUCGGGAGGACCGGCUCCCUCCGAACCCCGGCACCGACUGUCGGCUCUCUCGGCCGCGUUUCUCUGUCUGGAAAUGAGAAGAGGCUCCCGCGAUCAAUCGGCACUCAGCACUUCGUGCUUCGUUUUCUUCCCCUCUUCUCCGCUCUGCCGCUGCACCUGGCCCCCAGCGCUGCCUGGCCCCCAGAGCUCAAGCGGAAUUGCGCCGUGCCCCACGGCCCCGCACCGCCCCACGGCCCCGCGCAGCC